rnacentral:rRNA from 1 species
UUCGCAAUGCCCGAAAGGGUGACGAAGCGACGCCGCGUGGGUGGGGAAGGCCUUCGGGUUGUAAAACCCUGUCAGGAGUUAUGAAAUGUAAGUGCGCUAAUAUCGUGCUUAUUUGACAAAGGCUCCAGAGGAAGCCACGGCUAACUCUGUGCCAGCAGCCGCGGUAAUACAGAGGUGGCAAGCGUUGUUCGGAAUUAUUGGGCGUAAAGAGCACGUAGGUGGAUUUGUUAGUCAGAUGUGAAAGCCUUCUGUUCAACGGAAGAAUUGCAUCUGAAACUACAAACCUUGAGUAUAGGAGGGGAGAAUGGAACUUCUGGUGGAGCGGUGAAAUGCGUAGAUAUCAGAAGGAACGCCGGCGGCGAAAGCGAUUCUCUGGCCUAUUACUGACACUCAGUGUGCGAAAGCUAGGGGAGCAAACGGGAUUAGAUACCCCGGUAGUCCUAGCUGUAACCGAUGGGCACUAAGUAGAGGGGUUUU